UACGUAGGUGGCAAGCGUUGUCCGGAUUACUGGGCGUAAAGAGCGCGCAGGCGGUCGUUCAAGUCGCGUGUGAAAGCCCCCGGCUCAACCGGGGGAAGGGGCGCCGAUACGACCGACCUGGAGGAACGUAGGGGGAGCUGGAACUUCCGGUGGAGCGGUGAAAUGCGCAGAUAUCAGGAGGAACACCAAUGGCGAAGGCAGCACUCUGGGACGUGACUGACGCUGAGACGCGAAAGCGUGGGGAGCAAACAGG
rnacentral:rRNA from 1 species